UGAGCUGUGGUGUAGGUCACAGACGCGGCUCAGAUCCCAUGUUGCUGUGGCUGUGGGGUAGGCCAGCAUCUACAGCUCUGAUAUGACCCCUAGCCUGGGAACUUCCACAUGCCAUAGGUGCGGCCCUAAAUUAAAAAAAAAAAAAAAAAAAAAAGGAGUGCUGGCUUAUAUCUCCAUUUAUCCUCUAUGGUCUCCCAAUAAAGUAAGAGUUUGGAUAGGAGCACCGUGCCCUCCCAAAAGGACAGCCCCUUCUACUUUCUCUCCUCCUAACCUGAACUUAUUGGACACCCUACAGAAUCAGCUCACCUGUGCCCCUCAAGAACCUCGCUGGAAACCCUUCUGCCAAGCUCAUCUCCUGAUUGAAAAAUCCCUCUACUAUGCUCAAGAAUAUCAGAGAGAGAAUCAGUUCACACUUGAUGCUUAUUGAUCAGCUUCUCCCUAAGAAAUUUAUGCCAGAAUGACAUAAUAAUAAUUCGAAAAAGGAAAAUGUGUAAGGAAAAUGAAUAUCUAAUUAUUAAAUAUUCAUAUUGUGUUCAUUUUAUUUUGAUCGUUAAUCUUUACUGUCUGUGUGCAAGAAAAAUUAGGGCAAAGAUCAUUCGAAGAAAGACAAUUAUUUUAGAAAUUAUCCUAACGUCAAAUGAAGAUGGUCUGAAAGAAGGAAGUGACAGAAAAUAAAAAGGAAGGUGUUUUUUUUUAGAAAACA
rnacentral:lncRNA from 1 species